rfam:Phaethon lepturus contig47066, whole genome shotgun sequence.
UGGUGGUGAUGUCUAAACUCACGAUGGUCUUCAGAGUCCCUGCUGGUGAGGGGGCCUGCUGAUAGUGCCAGUGGCAAUUGCUGAACCAUAAUA